UUGCAUUCUCAUUUUGGACUUUUGUUUUGCUUUACGAUUUGGCUGGACAUAUUUUUCUUGGAACGACGACCUUUGCACGGCAUCACGGACUUUGAUAUAGCAUACGAUUGGUAUUAUUUCUCAAGGAGUAAUCAGGAGGUAAGAAUGAUUUAGAUCUAUUACCUACAACGGAAAUCUAUUAGACGCACUUUAAUAUUGUAUUGCCCUCGUAACAAAUUAUUUGAAUAGAUCACAAUUACUGAAAUGUAUGUGUGUACAAUUAUAUUUGUUUUUAAGAUUAUACCUAAUGAGCGAGCCGCAGCCAGGUGCGUCGGGGACUGCUCCGCCGGCGCCGCCGCCGGUCAAAAAACGAAAAUUGGCUGUUAAAAAACAGUUAUCGCAAAGGGAGAAAAAAUUUUUGGUGAAUAUUUAUAAUCACUUGGAGAAAACCUCUCCUACAUACCCAUCAAAAAUGGAAUUAUAUAAAACCACCUCAAAAAUAAUGGACGUCUCAGAAUAUAUUGUUCGUGACGUAAUGAAACAUUACACACAAAAUCAAGAAGUACCCCAGCCUAAGGAGAGACCUGCAAAUCGAGCCAUAAUUGAUAAGUUAGAUGAUUUUAUCUUAUCUGCAAUAAGAAGAAAGGUUCAUAAAUUUUACUAUGAUGGGGAAUUGCCAACCAUUGCCAAAAUUUUUACAGCAGUCAAUGAAGGUGACAGCCUACCAAAUUUUACAUUCGGUACAAUGUAUAGAAUAUUGAAGAAAUUAAACUUCACAUACUGCAAGCGAUCAAGAAAAAGCAUUUUGCUAGAUAGACCUGACUUACAAAUUUGGAGGGUGAAUUAUUUGUUGAAAAUCAAUGAAUACAGAGAGCAAAAUAAAAAGAUUUAUUAUUUGGAUGAAACAUGGCUUAAUGAGGGGCACACCUGCAAUUAUGUGUGGAUGGAUAAUGACAUCAAGAGUAGUAGACAGGCAUUCUUGAGAGGCCUUUCAAGUGGCUUAAAAAAUCCUCAGAAAGGAAAGAGGCUG